AGGUGGCAGACAAUGGGAAGGAUUUGUACUACAACGAGUUUGCCUGGAACAAAAUCGCUAACGUGUUCUUUGUGGAGGCCCCGGCGGGAGUGGGGAUGUCUUAUGCCGAGGAUGGACAGACUGCCACCAACGACUCUAUGACUGCCAUAGACAACUACUGGGCCUUGAAGAGUUUCUUCAAGAAAUUUCCUGAAUACAAAGAGAGAGAUUUUUACAUCACAGGAGAGAGUUAUGCGGGCAUAUAUAUUCCAACCUUGACCUCUCUCGUCCUUGAUGACCCUACCAUCAACC